AGCAGCGUGGCUCAGUGGAAAGAGCACGGGCUUUGGACUCAGAGGUCAUGGGUUCGAAUCCCUGCUCGGCCA
rnacentral:tRNA from 1 species